CCCCAAAAUCUGAAUGUUAAUAUUUGUCGGAUGUUCCUUUAUGACACGUCAUGAAAUAAAUAACUAGGCUAUUUAACCUAGUUAAGGGUAUGGUCAAAAGUAUUAAGUGAUGAAAGGUAGUGUCAGUUAUGUUUUAAAGGAAAACCCGAGGGGCUAAAGUGGAACAAAUGAAAGUUGUUUACUAAUUAAAAGAUCAACACACACACACAAACACACAUACGUGUGUGUUCGUGAAGCUUCAGGAGCUCUCAAGAGCUCCAAACCCUAAACAUGAAAGAUCAUCCAAAUUGAAAGGCUAAAUGAUGCUUAAAUCCAUAACCGAGCAUGGAUUAAUGAUCACCAACACGAGGAGAUCAUAAGUAUAGGAAUCAUAUCAAGGCGGACUCAAGCAUGAAUGACUAACGGGUCAAGAGAAGGCAAGGAAGCGAAUAGGAACGCGGAUGCAUAAGGUAAGUGAUUUUCGUAAUCACUUCUUAAUUCAAGUAAGUAACUAAGUGUUGUGAUUAAUUAAACAUGAUGUUUGAGGUCAAAUAUGUGUUAAAGUCUUUCGUCGUAAACGAUGGAUUAAAGUUGACCAAAAUGCCCUCGAUGGGUAAUUUGGGGUAAACGAUCUUAAGAAUAGUUUAGAAACAAGUUAUUCGAUUAGUGUAAUGUUUUGGACAAGUAUGGAUGUGGGGAUGAUGGUUUGGUUAGUCAUAGACCAAUUAAUACGCGAAUACCCUUAACGGGUCAAAAUAAGUAUAUGAACGAUAAUGUGUUAAGAGGAUGUAAGACAUCCAAGAAUUUGGUAAUUUAUGAGAGACGUCACUGAUAUUAUUAUGUUUAUAAGAGGUUAUGGUAAAACAAACAGAUUAUGUUGAUUAAUGCACGAACGGGUCAAAUAAUUAGAAGAUAAUAAUAAGCCGAAUGCAGGUAAGUUAAGAAUUUCCUUAAUCCAUAUGUGGGAUUUUAAGUUCAUAUGAUAGAAUGUGAAUUUACAAGCAUGUAGGAAGAAACGUGAGGUUAAACGGACAAUCGGGUUAAAAGUUAUGCGAGUUUUAGUGGGCGUGUUGUAUCUGCACCCGGAGUAUGUAACGCCGGGUUUGGGAGUAUGGAACGCCGGGCAGAAACCUAAACGCCCAUACUUCACUGUCAAACGCUGGUUCCAUGUUAAAGUGAACGUCGGGGUGUUCCAAACAAGCCUAGAUCACUAUAAAGCUGAGUCUAAGACCCAUGUAAAUAAUGUAUGAUUAUGUAAGAGGUACGCGUGAUCUAGUACGUGUUCGUUAAGGUAUGUACGAGUGUAUGCAUGUAUGUAAAGAUGUAGGAAAGGUAUGUACGUUUGUAGAUGUGUAUGUAUGUAUGUAUGUAUGUAUGUAUGUAUAAAGGUAUGUACGAGUGUAUGCAUGUACGUAAAGAUGUAGGAAAGGUAUGUACGUAUGUAGAUGUGUAUGUAUGUAUGUAUAAAGGUAUGUACGAGUGUAUGCAUGUACGUAAAGAUGUAGGAAAGGUAUGUACGUAUGUAGAUGUGUAAGUAUGUAUGUAUAAAGGUAUGUACGAGUGUAUGCAUGUAUGUAAAGAUGUAGGAAAGGUAUGUACGUAUGUAGAUGUGUAUGUACGUAUGUAUAAGAUAUGUAUGAGUAUAUGCAUGUAUGUAAAGAUGUAGGAAAGGUAUGUAUGUAUGUAUGUAUGUAUGUAUGUAAUUGUGUAAAUGCCCCGUACUGCGCUUUGAUGACUUAAAAGUGCAGAAAUUGGUAUCAACGGGUCAAAACGGCAAGGUAGGAAAGAUAUGCAGAAGCUACCGUAAAUUACGGUACCACCGUAAUAUACGGUGGAGGGUAAAUCUUUACGGUGGUUCUUUACUGAUUUACGGUAGAACCAUAAACGUCCAGCGCCCACCGUAAAUUACGGUGACCACCGUAAUUUACGGUGGAGCCCAGCCAAAAUUGUCAAGUUAUGUAUAAUUUCAUAUUUCGAAUCCGUUUUAAGCGUAUACUUAAUUAUGUGAAAAUUGAAGGAUUCUAACAUUAUUAUCUUGUUAAAUUUGUAUGUAUGUAGACGUGAAUGUAUGUUUGUAUGUAAGUACAUAUGUAAGCAUGAUUUAUUCACAUUGAGUGUUAACGUUUUUAAUGGUGUACCUUGAGAAUGAAAAGUAAUGCAGGUACAUUACUGAAGCCUCACCAGGAAAUGGAUACGCAGAUGAAAUGCUUAAAGUUUGAAAAAUGACGAAUAGUGAAGUGUACGUGAAUGAAUCUUGUUUAUAUAAUGUGUGCUAAUGUAUGAAUGAAUGUGGUGAGCGCAGGUUGUACGAAUCACGGAUUAACCUCACAAGGAGUAGCGAUCGAAGACCCAGUCACAAGAUAGAUUGUACGGGAAUGUUUACAUAUGUAAUUUAGUGAUGAUAAGAUAUGUUUUUAUAUUUAAAAUGGACCUUCAAGUAAGUCAAAAUGUUUGUAAAGGAAGAAAAUUUUAUGGCAUGAAUUUCCGCUGUGACUUUUUGUCUAAUACAAAUUAGGGUCUUACAAGUUGGUAUCAGAGCCCUGGUUUGAGAGACUCAAGUACAAGAAAGUAAGUACUUGAACUCAAACUUAUGUGCUCGUAUGAUAAGGAACCCGUACAAUCUAAGACUCGAUCAAGAUCCAAAGGUAGAAGCGAAUGUAAGUAUGUACUUAUGUAUACGUAUGAAGAAACUGAUGGUUUUGUAUGUGCAAGGUAAGCAUAAGUGUUGGAAGAGGAUGAUCCGUGAAUGCGGUCGAGGAUGAAUACUAAGGCAGGCAAAGAGGUAAUAAGAUAAGUAGGCAAAUGAGCUUAGGUACGUAAAUUUAAUAUGUGGAUAUAUGUAAUGGUAAACUCAUUAAGGGAAGGAAAGUUUUGAAUAAAAGAUAAGGAUUGUAUGUAAUGAAGUACUGAAAGUGAUACACGCGCUGAAACCUAAGUCUACGGACAUAAGGUGGCAAUUACAUGAAGGCACGAAACUACUAUGUGUAUUGUGUACCUGGCCAGUACACGAGAAACGUACGACGUUCGUGAGAUCAUGAUAAUUGUUACAGGUAUGUCCGGUAGAGUUGGGUAGCAGGCGGGCGUGUGGGUGAAAUGGGAAGUAAGACUCUCGGGAAAUGAGAGUACUAUGUAAGGAUGAAAAACAUGCAUGUUAAGAAUGAAGAAUGUUGAAUCCGUAAGAAAGCGCGAAUCAACAAGGUAUGAAUGAAAUGUUUGAAUCCGCGAGACGGAUUCAAGGGAUGAAAUGUAUGAAUGAAAUGAUUGAAUCCGCGAGACGGAUUCAAGGAAGGAAAGGUAUGAAUGAAAUGUUUGAAUCCGCGAGACGGAUUCAAGGAUGAAAGGCAUGAAUGAUAUGUUUGAAUCCGUGAGAUGGAUUCAAGGUAUGAAAGGCAUGAAUGGAAUGAUUGAACCCGCGAGGUGUUAGAUGUGUUAGUAAUCGACUCAUGGGAGUCAUAAUGUAGGGCGGGCUACGACCCGGGCAAUAAGUUAAGUAUGAAUAGGAAGGGUAAGUUUGGUCAUGAGUACCGGAAUAAUGUAAUGAAUGUGUUUGCAAGUAAGCAUGAAUGGAAAGAAGUACGAAUGUGUACCUCGAUGCAUCUCUGUUAAGUAAGAAAUGUCAGUUGGACUUGAAAGGCCAAACCGCAAGGGUGACGAAAUAAGUAACUAGAGUAAAAGAAUUGUACGUAAGGAAUGAAGUAUGGAAUGUGUUAUAGCAUGUAUGUAGGAAGUUGUAGAAGAAUUAUGGGUGCGUAAUCACCUAGUAAAAUAAAUGUUUGAAUGAAAUGUGCACGAGCGGAAGCUCAUUAUAAGGAUGAAUGAACCAUGGCCGGGUACGAUUAGUACUCGAGAAGAGACGGAUCGAUCUGGCUUACGGAUCGUUGAGUUAUGAAAUGAAACCGAGGUCAGUGAAAUGUUCAACUUAUGCUGAAUGUGUACGAAUCAGAAGAUUGGAAAUCAACCUAUGAAGUGAAGGAUAGGAUAGGUAUGGUAAGGUAUGUGAUGUUUGACUUUUAACAGUCAACCUAAGAAGAAAAUGGUAAAUCCUAAAAGUUUUGAGUGAAAAUUUCGGGUAAUGAUUAAAUUCUUGUAAGAUGAACUGCAUGAUAUACUUACGUAUGUAAAUUAAAUAAUGCACGAAGUGAGAGUAAUUGUAAGGUGAAAUGAAAAAGAUGGUUGGAAAGUAACGUAAAGGUAUGCAUGGUACAAGUAAUUGUAGAAAACGUAGAAGGAUGAUCACGUUAGAGUUAAGUACAUAGGUGUGUGUGAUUACAAGUCAAAGAAGUAUGUAUAUUGAACCGUGGUUGUCAGGUCAAGGAAAUGAAAAUGAUAUGCGAAAUUAUGAUAAGGAAGGUAUGGAAUUGUUAGGGAGAAGUCAAUGAUAUGAAUAAUGAAAUAAACAUGAAAGAAACAUUAAUAGGAAUGUUCUUGAAAUUGGAUGAUAGUCAUUGUGAUGAGCUCGUGGUUGUGUCGAGUGGAUGUAGAGAAGGAAUAAUUAGUGUUAAAUAAAGGUAAGAAAGGUUUCGGGGACGAAACCUCAAUUAAGGGUGGUAGACUUGUAACGCCCCAAAAUCUGAAUGUUAAUAUUUGUCGGAUGUUCCUUUAUGACACGUCAUGAAAUAAAUAACUAGGCUAUUUAACCUAGUUAAGGGUAUGGUCAAAAGUAUUAAGUGAUGAAAGGUAGUGUCAGUUAUGUUUUAAAG